rnacentral:rRNA from 1 species
UAGGGAAUCUUCGGCAAUGGACGAAAGUCUGACCGAGCAACGCCGCGUGAGUGAAGAAGGUUUUCGGAUCGUAAAACUCUGUUGUUAGAGAAGAACAAGGACGUUAGUAACUGAACGUCCCCUGACGGUAUCUAACCAGAAAGCCACGGCUAACUACGUGCCAGCAGCCGCGGUAAUACGUAGGUGGCAAGCGUUGUCCGGAUUUAUUGGGCGUAAAGCGAGCGCAGGCGGUUUCUUAAGUCUGAUGUGAAAGCCCCCGGCUCAACCGGGGAGGGUCAUUGGAAACUGGGGGACUUGAGUGCAGAAGAGGAGAGUGGAAUUCCAUGUGUGGCGGUGAAAUGCGUAGAUAUAUGGAGGAACACCAGUGGCGAAGGCGGCUCUCUGGUCUGUAACUGACGCUGAGGCUCGAAAGCGUGGGGAGCAAACAGG